UUCUUCUCUGUUCUUCUGUUAUGUUUACGUAGAAAUUGGAAUUUCAAAUCACUGACUGACAACCAAUGACAGUUAACACUGAUAGUCACUGGUUUGUGUGUAUGUGAGUGUGUGCGUGUUUAUGAUUGAUUUGAAUGCCGAUGUAAUGUAUGUGUUUUCAUCAGUCUGAAUUUCUCUUUCUCUCUGAAAGUAACAGCCACGAUGAAACAGUUUCUGUUGAGUUUUUGCCUGGCUGUAGGCCUUUUCAGCACGUUGUUACCUCAAACAGUACAGGAGACAAACAUGCAGGUGGUAACUGGGGCUUCUUGGACCAGAUUGCCAGCCUUCAGUGGGUUCGUGAUAAUAUCAUGGAUUUUGGGGGAGACCCAGACUCAGUCACCAUCUUCGGACAAUCUACCUGGGGCAUUAGUGCAUCCAUGCUGGUAGGUAUGAGAAAGACAAUGUGACACAGCAGUGAGAUGGUCAGGUACAAAAGAAGAGGUGUGGUUGAAUUUAUACCUCACAGUGUAAACCAUCAAAACCAAAGAGAGUAGCACUGUUUGACCCAAUGGCUCUGUCUAUCACCUGACAGGUGUUGUGUCCAUUAGCUGAGGGCCUGUUUCCCAGAGCCAUCCCAAUGAGUGGAGUGGCACCACUAGAGGCCCAUUACGACCAACAACCCACUGGCCAAUGCCAAGAUACUCAUGAAUACCUAUGUAACACAGCAUCCAGGUCCACACCCACCCUGCCCCCAUUAAUGCUGAUGAUGUCCAAUCUGUCAGAGUGUGAUGACAGCACUACUGAGAAGAUUGUGCAGUGCGUCAGAGGGACAUACUCACACCAUCAAAAAAGUAUGAGGUCAUUCAGUUCUGUUUGAUGUGGCUUAGUUUGGCAUGUUGGUCUAUUAUCAUAUGCACGGAAGCUAACAAAAAUAUCUGUAUUUUAGGUUCAGGCAUUCAUGGGCCCUGCAUUGAUGGUGUGCUCCUGAAAGGGCCUCCUGAAGAGGUUUUGAAGAACAAGGAGUUCCUGAAGGUUCCUAUGGUUGUAGAGGUGGUCAACCAUGAAUUUGGAUGGGUUAUGUCUCAGGCAAGCUCACUGGAUUUUAUAUCUUGUUGUGAGAUUUUCUUUAAGACAACAUUAUUGUGGUCAUCAGACCAGAUUACUGUACCUGUAUCACAUUUCAGAUAUCUUCACCUCUGUUGCAGUCUAACUGUUGUUUCUGAUGCCAUAGUUUUAUUUUAUGCACCUUUGGGUUCUGUUGAUGGCAUGGAGAAGCAGUCUGUGGAAUCCGUGAUGGACAUUUUCUUCUUAUGUCUCCCAAUGGGCUGUGGUUGGUGGAGUGGACUCCCCUUUGACCACACUGAGAGUUAACUGAACCUGGGCUUGGAGCAGACAGUGGGCCUGGGACUGAAGCAGAACAGGUCCCACUUCCUGAAUGUAGUCCUGCCCCGAAACUCUCAAUCCACCAGACAGCCAAUGAGGAGCUCUAAAUCUCUGGGCUUUACCAUAUAUGGACCCUUCAAUUAACACAUGAUCAACAAUUAAUUUGGUAACACUUUGGCUACAGUACAUUCUGAAAUCCAUUGUAAUAUUGAAUACAUAAUGUAAACUUUCACUGCUAUGCGGAUGACACACAGCUGUACAUUUCAAUGAAACAUGGUGAAGCCCCAAAAUUGCCCUCGCUAGAAGCGGAAGGAAGUGGAUGGCUGCAAACUUUCUACUAUUAAACUCGGACAAAACAGAGAUGCUUGUUCUAGGUCCCAAGAAACAACAGAGAUAUUCUGU
rnacentral:lncRNA from 1 species